rnacentral:rRNA from 1 species
GGAUGAACGCUAGCGGGAGGCUUAACACAUGCAAGUCGAGGGGCAGCAUAGGGUAGCAAUACUCUGAUGGCGACCGGCAAACGGGUGAGUAACGCGUAUGUAACCUACCCUGUACAGGGGGAUAACCCGGAGAAAUUCGGACUAAUAUCCCAUAACAAUAUCCGGGGGCAUCUUUGGAUAUUUAAAGUUCCGGCGGUACGGGAUGGGCAUGCGUAACAUUAGCUAGUUGGUAAGGUAACGGCUUACCAAGGCUUUGAUGUUUAGGGGUCCUGAGAGGGUGGUCCCCCACACUGGUACUGAGACACGGACCAGACUCCUACGGGAGGCAGCAGUGAGGAAUAUUGGUCAAUGGGCGCAAGCCUGAACCAGCCAUCCCGCGUGCAGGAAGACGGCGCUAUGCGUUGUAAACUGCUUUUCCAGGGAGAGAAACUUGCGCACGUGUUGCGCAAUUGACGGUACCCUGGGAAUAAGCAUCGGCUAACUCCGUGCCAGCAGCCGCGGUAAUACGGAGGAUGCGAGCGUUAUCCGGAUUCAUUGGGUUUAAAGGGUGCGUAGGCGGACUAUUAAGUCAGUGGUGAAAUCCUGCAGCUUAACUGCAGAACUGCCAUUGAUACUGAUAGCCUUGAGUUUGGUUAAGGUAGGCGGAAUGUGUAAUGUAGCGGUGAAAUGCUUAGAUAUUACACAGAACACCAAUUGCGUAGGCAGCUUACUGAGCCGACACUGACGCUGAGGCACGAAAGCGUGGGGAUCGAACAGGAUUAGAUACCCUGGUAGUCCACGCCGUAAACGAUGAUUACUCGCUGUUGGCGAUACACUGUCAGCGGCUAAGCAAAAGCAAUAAGUAAUCCACCUGGGGAGUACGGCCGCAAGGUUGAAACUCAAAGGAAUUGACGGGGGCCCGCACAAGCGGAGGAACAUGUGGUUUAAUUCGAUGAUACACGAAGAACCUUACCUGGGUUUGACAUAGAGGUAGUAGGGAAGCGAAAGCGGACCGACCCUUCGGGGAGCCUCUACAGGUGUUGCAUGGCUGUCGUCAGCUCGUGUCGUGAGAUGUUCGGUUAAGUCCGCUAACGAGCGCAACCCUCGCUGUGUGUUACAAGUGUCACACGGUACUGCCGAUAUUAAGUCGGAGGAAGGUGGGGAUGACGUCAAGUCAGCAUGACCUUUAUAUCCAGGGCUACACACACGCUACAAUGGCCAGUACAAUGGGUUGCCAAGCCGCGAGGCGGAGCCAAUCCUAAAAAGCUGGCCUCAGUUCAGAUUGCAGUCUGCAACUCGACUGCAUGAAGUUGGAGUUGCUAGUAACCGCAGGUCAGCAAUACUGCGGUGAAUACGUUCCCGGGGAU